GACGAACGCUGGCGGCGUGCUUAACACAUGCAAGUCGAACGGAAAGGCCCUGCUUUUGUGGGGUGCUCGAGUGGCGAACGGGUGAGUAACACGUGAGUAACCUGCCCUUUACUUUGGGAUAACUUCAGGAAACUGGGGCUAAUACCGGAUAGGAGCUCCUGCUGCAUGGUGGGGGUUGGAAAGUUUCGGCGGUUGGGGAUGGACUCGCGGCUUAUCAGCUUGUUGGUGGGGUAGUGGCUUACCAAGGCUUUGACGGGUAGCCGGCCUGAGGGGGUGACCGGCCACAUUGGGACUGAGAUACGGCCCAGACUCCUACGGGAGGCAGCAGUGGGGAAUAUUGCACAAUGGGCGGAAGCCUGAUGCAGCAACGCCGCGUGCGGGAUGACGGCCUUCGGGUUGUAAACCGCUUUCGCCUGUGACGAAGCGUGAGUGACGGUAAUGGGUAAAGAAGCACCGGCUAACUACGUG
rnacentral:rRNA from 1 species